AGUAUAGAGUGCUUGAGCGUGCUAGUGUUGCAGAAGACCACGUCAACUGUGAUGAUGACAUCAUUUCAAGUCGAAACAACCUCCUCAAUGAUAAACCUGGACUGUCUAUGAAAGCCAUAGCUCGGGAGAUUGGGAUAACCACUUCAUGGUGAAGAAGUUCUGGAUGUAUCAGAUAGCGGGGGGAAAGCCAUACAUCUUCAGCAAAACGGUCCUCCCAUCCACAACUAGAAGACAACCUGGCAGCGGCUCUCUUAAAAAUUCCCCUACUACUGGGACAAGGAUAUCUACCCCGUCCCAGAUUCCCUGGGGGUAAUUCCCAAGACUUGUUUUGGGGGCAGGGUUGAAAAGGACACUAAUAGGUCCUCCCAUAGCAAGAAGGAGUAUCUCAUUACCUCAAUCAUGGACGUGUUUACCGAAAUCCCGAGGGAGAAUGCAAUGAACGCCUGCGCAUUUCUCUGGUCCCACCUGGAGGAGAUCGUGGCGGCAAUUUAUUCGUUAUAUCUAAAUAUUAUUAAAUAUCCCCAGAAAAUUUAAA
rnacentral:lncRNA from 1 species